rnacentral:rRNA from 1 species
GACGAACGCUGGCGGCGUGCUUAACACAUGCAAGUCGAACGGAAAGGCCCUGCUUUUGUGGGGUGCUCGAGUGGCGAACGGGUGAGUAACACGUGAGUAACCUGCCCUUGACUUUGGGAUAACUUCAGGAAACUGGGGCUAAUACCGGAUAGGAGCUCCUGCUGCAUGGUGGGGGUUGGAAAGUUUCGGCGGUUGGGGAUGGACUCGCGGCUUAUCAGCUUGUUGGUGGGGUAGUGGCUUACCAAGGCUUUGACGGGUAGCCGGCCUGAGAGGGUGACCGGGAACCAUGGAACUGAGAAGGGGGCCAGAGUCCUAAGGGAGGCAGCAGUGGGGAACAGUGGACAAUGGGCGGACGCGUGAGGCAGCCAGGCCGCGUGUGUGAAGAAGGUCUUCGGAUUGGAAAGAGCGUUAAGGUGGGAGGAAGGGAAGUAAGUUAAUACCUUGCUGGUGUGACGUUACCAACAGAAUAAGCAACGGCUAACUUCGGG